rnacentral:snoRNA from 1 species
CAACUUACCACUUGUUUGACACUGAAUGAGAUAUAUUCCCACCACUGAC